GCAGGGUGUGGUGGCACACACCUGCAAUCCCAGCUACUUGGGAGUCUGAGGCAGGAUGAUUCUAAGUUUGAGGCCAGUCUGGACAAUUUAGGGAGAUCCUGUCUCAA
rnacentral:sRNA from 1 species